GGUAAAGUGGCCGAAUGUUAGGCGGUAGGCUGUAGACCNNUUUACAUUGGUUUAAUUCCUUUCUUUAUC
rnacentral:tRNA from 1 species